rnacentral:rRNA from 1 species
UACGAAGGGGGCUAGCGUUGCUCGGAAUUACUGGGCGUAAAGGGCGCGUAGGCGGCCCUGUUGGUCGGGCGUGAAAUCCCCGGGCUCAACCCGGGGGCUGCGCCCGAAACGGCGGGGUUGGAGGCAAGGAGAGGCUCGCGGAAUUCCCAGUGUAGAGGUGAAAUUCGUAGAUAUUGGGAAGAACACCGGUGGCGAAGGCGGCGAGCUGGCCUUGAACUGACGCUGAGGCGCGACAGCGUGGGGAGCAAACAGG